rnacentral:rRNA from 1 species
UGGGGAAUUUUGGACAAUGGGCGCAAGCCUGAUCCAGCAAUGCCGCGUGCAGGAUGAAGGCCUUCGGGUUGUAAACUGCUUUUGUACGGAACGAAAAGGCUCUGGCUAAUACCUGGGGCACAUGACGGUACCGUAAGAAUAAGCACCGGCUAACUACGUGCCAGCAGCCGCGGUAAUACGUAGGGUGCGAGCGUUAAUCGGAAUUACUGGGCGUAAAGCGUGCGCAGGCGGUUUUGUAAGACAGAGGUGAAAUCCCCGGGCUCAACCUGGGAACUGCCUUUGUGACUGCAAGGCUGGAGUGCGGCAGAGGGGGAUGGAAUUCCGCGUGUAGCAGUGAAAUGCGUAGAUAUGCGGAGGAACACCGAUGGCGAAGGCAAUCCCCUGGGCCUGCACUGACGCUCAUGCACGAAAGCGUGGGGAGCAAACAGGAUUAGAUACCCUGGUAGUCCACGCCCUAAACGAUGUCAACUGGUUGUUGGGUCUUAAUUGACUCAGUAACGAAGCUAACGCGUGAAGUUGACCGCCUGGGGAGUACGGCCGCAAGGUUGAAACUCAAAGGGAAUUGACGGGGUCAUAGCU